rnacentral:rRNA from 1 species
UACAACUUUCAGCAACGGAUCUCUUGGCUCUCGCAUCGAUGAAGAACGCAGCGAAAUGCGAUAAGUAAUGUGAAUUGCAGAAUUCAGUGAAUCAUCGAAUCUUUGAACGCACCUUGCGCUCCUUGGUAUUCCGAGGAGCAUGCCUGUUUGAGUGUCAUUAAAUUCUCAACCUCU